rnacentral:rRNA from 1 species
CACUCCUGCGGGAGGCAGCAGUGGGGAAUAUUGCACAAUGGGCGCAAGCCUGAUGCAGCCAUGCCGCGUGUAUGAAGAAGGCCUUCGGGUUGUAAAGUACUUUCAGCGGGGAGGAAGGCGAUAAGGUUAAUAACCUUGUUGAUUGACGUUACCCGCAGAAGAAGCACCGGCUAACUCCGUGCCAGCAGCCGCGGUAAUACGGAGGGUGCAAGCGUUAAUCGGAAUUACUGGGCGUAAAGCGCACGCAGGCGGUCUGUCAAGUCGGAUGUGAAAUCCCCGGGCUCAACCUGGGAACUGCAUUCGAAACUGGCAGGCUAGAGUCUUGUAGAGGGGGGUAGAAUUCCAGGUGUAGCGGUGAAAUGCGUAGAGAUCUGGAGGAAUACCGGUGGCGAAGGCGGCCCCCUGGACAAAGACUGACGCUCAGGUGCGAAAGCGUGGGGAGCAAACAGGAUUAGAAACCCGUGUAGUCCCAU